UACGUAGGGGGCAAGCGUUGUCCGGAAUCAUUGGGCGUAAAGCGCGUGUAGGCGGCCCGAUAAGUCCGCUGUGAAAGUCCAGGGCUCAACCCUGGGAUGCUGGUGGAUACUGUCGGGCUCGAGUCCGGAAGAGGAGUGUGGAAUUCCUGGUGUAGCGGUGAGAUGCGCAGAUAUCAGGAAGAACACCUAUGGCGAAGGCAGCUCUCUGGGACGGUACUGACGCUGAGACGCGAAAGCGUGGGGAGCGAACAGG
rnacentral:rRNA from 1 species